GUGGGAGGGGGCUUGCUCCCGAUAGCGGUGGUUCAGCUAAGUACUUCUUGGCUGACACACUGCAAUCGGGAGCAAGCCCCCUCCCAC
rnacentral:misc_RNA from 1 species